UGCCAGCCGCCGCGGUAAUACGGAGGGUGCAAACGUUGUUCGGAAUCACUGGGCUUAAAGCGUGCGUAGGCGGCUUGGAAGGUGAGAUGUGAAAGCCCACGGCUCAACCGUGGAACCGCCUUGCAUACUGCAGUGCUCGAGUAUGGUAGGGGAGAGCGGAACUCCUGGUGGAGCGGUGAAAUGCGUAGAUAUCAGGAGGAACACCGGUGGCGAAGGCGGCUCUCUGGUCCAUUACUGACGCUGAGGUGCGAAAGCUAGGGUAGCGAACGGGAUUAGAUA
rnacentral:rRNA from 1 species